UUCUCUCUCUCUCUCUCUAAAAACCCCAUCGGCCUCCCCUUCUCACUAUUCACCAUCUUCUCCAAAUGUUUCAAAACAAUAAUGGAUUCUACAUGCAAUUGUGAUAAUGCUUUCUACAUAACAAGGGGAUUUUUGGGUUGCUGGUGACUUAAAUGGAUGAUUGGAAGCAAGGAAUUAGGGAAUGAAUUAGGGCAGAAGCUUGGGUGUUGGUUGGAAGAAACAAGUUUGGGAAGACUUGAAGAAAUAAGCUUAAGGUGUUUUUCAAGGGCUUAAAGUAAGUUAUUUAUUAAGCUUGAAUUUCACAAUGGUGGUUGCUACUGUAUUUUGUAAUGGUGGGUUGAAACUGAUUAUGGUUGAACCAUGACUGAAUUUUAUGGAUAGAUUGUUAGAAAAAGUGUAUUGGACUGGUUAUGAAUUAUGGGUCGAAAAUUUUGCUGUGUAACCCAAAAUGGAGAAAUUAUUGGAUUUUAAGAUUCUACCCUCAAUUCCCUACAGUUUAUAUAUAAAUUUUGUACGAUUUGGAUCAAGAAUGAAUUCUGAAAACACAUUAGAAGUUGGACUGUAGUGCUGAAAAUCUGCAGAAAAAGCUAUACGGGUUUUGGCAUGAUAAUUGCAAAAUAAGCGAUUUUGAAGUUUAAGUUGCUGAAUAAAUGAUCUAAAAGUUGUUCAUAAGUGUUUGGUUGUGUGGGUUGAAGUUUGGAAUGAAUUCGGAACAUGCAGAGGCCAUAAGCUGCAGUUAAGCUGUUUUGAGAAAAGUGCUUAUGGGGCAUAGCAGGAGCUGAAAUGGGACGUAAGCAGCGUUGAGACUUUAAAAAAAAAAUGUUUAAGUUUUCCAUAGAGUUGCAGCAACACAUCAUAUCGCUUAAGAGGGUAGUUCAAGCGACGAUGAUAGAUAGAAGGUUUCUAAUUGCGGGGAGUGGCUUGCUGAACCUAUUUUUAGGUUUCUUUCACAAAUCAAGGGUUGAUGAUGAUGAUAGCUAUGAAUAUUUACAAGCGAUGAAUUUUGUGCCUUAUGAAACACUUCUUCACAAUAACAUGAAUACCAAUGGUUUUGUAGUUCCCUUUGUCAUGCAACAGGAACCACUUGUGCUACAGUUCUUAUCCGAGCAAUAUUUAAGGAAGGAUGCAAAUCAGUAGCAGCUGGAAUGAAUGCAAUGGAUCUGAGGCGAGGUAUAAAUAUGGAUUUUGAUGCUGUUGUGACAAACUUGAAAAGCAGAGCACGAAUGAUCGACACUUCUGAAGAAAUAGCUAAGGUGGAUUUGACACAGCUCAUGCUGCUGCUAGACGAAGAAUUUAUGGAAAGAGGAGUUUGUGCAAACACUUCGUCUACAGAGCAAUGUUUUCUCAAGACGGAGUUCGAAGUACAGAGGAGGAACACUGCACAAAUGUGGCCGUUGGGAAGCUCGAAUGGGUCAAUUCCUUGGUAAAAAGUAUAUAUAUCUUGGGUUAUUCGACAGUGAAGUAGAAGCUGCAAGGUCCUAAGCACUAAUGAAUUAUUACAUUCUACCUGCACUGAAUUUAUUACACUUGAUUAUCAAGCUCAUUUGCAAUGCAUCCAACAUGUAUCUCCCUUUUGAUUUUCCAAUCGUUCAAAAUGUGCGAACCACAAAUGUGCAAUGUUGUGUGUAAGCUUAAACUUGAUGCCAAAACUGCAAUAGCAUUCAAAAAGAAGAUUGAUGACGAGUAUCGGGUGAACAUGAUUCUAGAUAACCUUCCUUUGGUUGUUCCAAUAAAGCGUGUGGAUCAGGAUUCUACUGUUUAUCAGCUUGGUUUCCAUGUUGGACUCAAAGGACAAUAUGAGCAAGGAGGAGAAGUUUUUUAUAGACAACCAUUUGGCAUUUACUGUCAAAUAUCAUAGAGAUUCACUCACUGAAUCUGCCAGAAUAGUGGGCUUUGAGGUUAAGCCAUUCAGUGUUAAACAUGAAUAUGAAGGGAAAUGAGAUGAAAAGACUCGCUUAUCAACGUGUGACCCUCAUGCUAAACAUACAGUUGUCAACUCCAAUACUCCUCAGGAAGUUGAAGAGGUAAAGGAAAUCAUCUUCACAUAUGAUGUUGAAUUCCUGACUUACUCUUUGCCAUUUUGAGUUGAUGGGCCACAAGACAAAAUACCUGCCAUGAGGUUUAUUCUCAUGAAAAGCCCCUAACUUUAGGUAGUGUUAAGCUGAACUAAGCUUUAACAAUAUGUCAUGGCUUCAUUUGGUAGUAGAAAUGCAAAAUUAGAGAUUAAUGGAAGGUUAAUGAGAUUUUGUAGCUGGUCUGCUUGGUUGUUUUUAUUGUGUCAUUCUUCGGCUGUCAUGCUCAUCUGCACCGGUGUUUUUGUACUAGUUAGGAUGAUUUAUGUGUCUCGUAAGUUGGAAUUGGAUCAAGUUGCUUGAGUGUUGUCCGAUACACAACAGUUGGUGAAAUACUUCUCUGCAAUCGCGGUGUAGUAGAAUCUACAUAUAUUAGGACUUUUGUUGGUAUCUUGAGAUGUUUAGGGUCUAAUUAUUCAAGUAUAUGGUGUGAUGUUAAUUGGCUUGAAUAAUUCUAGCUAUUGUUGAAUUUAAAUAAUAUUAACUCUCAACAUUUAGUAGAAUCAAUGGAAAAGA